UUGACUAAUUUGUUAUUUUUUAUACAAAGCUAUAUGUUUUGUAUAUUAUAAUGUAAGAUACUUUCAUUGAACACUCACUUUUUUUUUUUUUUUUUCAUUUUUAGGCUGAGUUGCACUCUUGUUGCUCAGGCUAGAGUGCAGUGGAGUGAUCUUAGCUCACUGCAACCUCCGUCUCCUGGAUUCAAGUGAUUCUCCUGCCUCAGUCUCCCAGUAGCUGGGAUUGCAGGCAACCACCACCAAGCCUGGCUAAUUUUUUUGAUCUCCCAGUCUUGUUUUUCUGAAGAAGGUAAACAAAUCACAGAUUCUGCCUAUGAGGAUUACAGUAUCACAGGAAUACAAAGCACAUGCACAUAUAAAUACAUACAGGUAGGUAAAUACAUUUUGUAGUAAAAGUAUAAAUAAAGAUAGAUAUUAUUUAAUAUUUGGAGAUGGAAGAAGCACA
rnacentral:lncRNA from 1 species